AAGUAACAAGGUUUCCGUAGGUGAACCUGCGGAAGGAUCAUUAACACGUAUCCAAACGUAACCCGCGUAGUUCGCAAUCUCUGAUAAAUCAUAGCCCGGAAAGUUGUGGUGAUUCAGAGACCUCUAGCUACGUGCGAACAUUGGAACAGUUACAAUCGAGCGGUAGUUCUAUAGGCAAUGUUUCCCCAAGCAGUCAGUGUCGGAAAGUGUCAUUGAUUGUGCAAGGAUAGCGCUUCUACGAUUCCUGUAGACCGUACACUCGGGCAGGAGCUUUGCCAAAGGGUCCCCAUGCCCCCUAAUAACCCCACAGUUUAAUGUGAAGCUCAAUGUAAUACAUUGGGUAAAAAAACCGAACAACUGUUAACAAUGGAUAUCUUGGUUCUC
rnacentral:misc_RNA from 1 species